CAGAUGAUAAGCCGUGAGAUGGCGGUGCCGCCGAUGGCCAGCCGCAGGAUGAGACCAGGGACAAUAGGUCCCUGGUCGACAAUAACACCGUGCAGACGCUGUCCAGCAAGGACAUCGAGGCGACGAAGCGGGAGGGUGCCAGCGGUGACGCCAUCGUGGAGGCUUUGAUAGCAAAUGGCUCCACAUUUGGAAAUAAGACAGUGUUCUCACAGGAGAAAUACAAGCUGAAGGAACAAAACAAAUAUGCGCCUAAAGUGCUUUUGCGGCGCCCCUCUACCCGAAGGUUUAUGUGAGUUGAUGCACUCUCCCUCUUGUUGUCUAUGGCAAAUGUUGGUGCAUAUUCAGAUGUGCUUGCCGUUCAUAUGGUUGGGGGUUUAGUUGUUGGAGCUGUAUCUGAACACUUAGGAGGGAUUUGCGCGGUGGAGACAGCUAUCCAUUUGUGCGGUCAUUGGAUUAGUAAACAGAGAGGGGGGAGGGAGGGAGCAAUGGACAAGAAGGCAACAAAGAUGAAGAUGCUCUCGUCGGCAGCGGCUUUCGUGGAGGGUGGCGUGCAGGACACCUUCGACGACGCCUGCAACAUCUGCCUUGAGGCCUUCUGCGACAGCGAGCCCUCCGGUUAGCUGCAAGCAUGAUUUCUAUCUCCAGUGCAUCCUUGAGUGGUGAGGACCAUGCUUUCUUGUCUUUGCAAUUUCCCCUCAAGUUCUUUGACCACUUGAUUAGAAAUUUAGAAUGAUAUUGCCUGAAACUAUCGUAUGAGUACGCAUUUUGCUGUUGUUAGUUUGUUCAUUGGCCUUGGCUUUAUUUAAAAGUGUAUGUUUCAUGGGCCUUGGCUUUAUUUAAGAGAUACCUCGCCGGCUCUUUUUUUAAAAGCUAAAGGGACUAUCUGAUUUGUUCUCUCUGGUCUACUACCACCCCUUAUUCUUGGGCUUUGGUCUGCUACAUUUGGCCUGAUAUUCUUCUUUGGUGUCCACAUGAGAAAAAAAGGAUGCCUAUGAUCAAAUAUCAAUCACUUAUUUUUCUAGGUUGUAUAGAUUUCUUGAAUUGCCUGCAGUAUACUUCUUUGUCAACUAAUAUAUGUCUCCCUGACGAUUUCAACAAAUACCAAGGAUAUGGUUAGGCGCACAUAUGCUUGUGUUUAUGACGACACCUGCACCAGUCGUUAUAGUAGUUGUUGUUGUCCCCCCCCCCCUCCAAACUCCCUUCUCUGGGUGAGAGAUCCCUCUCCUUUCCUUUCUAUUUGUUGGGUUUCGCUUUGUGCCAUCAUUUGAUUGGUUGAAUGACACAGGAAGAAAGUGAGAACAGAGUGCUUCUCUCCUAAGUUAUACUUGUAUGUCUAAAUUUUUCUCAAAUGACAUGACACCCAGUGUCCUGCAUGAUAUUUUCACACAAACAUGUUAAUUGUUUUGCAUAUAUUGGUGAAGUUUAAUUCAGCUUCAGAAAUGAGGGCAUGCGAUACAUGUUGUGUGCAUUUGAUUUCAGAAUGUUUUUAACCCGCCAUGCAUGAUAAUCGUGUGGUAGCUACAUGUAUGUUAGAUUGCUGGACAUCUGAAGGAGCUUGAAUAGGUAUUUCACCAUCUUAUGCAACACCGUUGCGUAUCUACACCUAUAUCAUGUUUAUUAACUAAACGUUCUUCCAUGUGAAACUCACUAGAUCUUUGGUAUGUGUUUUCCUCCAAUCCUUGCUUAACUGUGUGAUGUUGAAUCAUUUAAAAUGGAUGUUGAAUCCUACAUGCUAUGCUAUGUCAUGCUGAUUUAUAAUUUGAUUUCCUAUUAUUGUUGGCAAGCUCUUGCUCGCAGUUCACAUUGUAUGAUUGGUAUUUUGUGCAUGACAUGGUGCGGAUUUCCUAGCUUCUUCAAGAAUGUCUGCUUGGUUUCUCCUGAUUUUGUAAAUUCUUUCUUCGGUGACUUCUGUAAUUCAUGAAUGUGUGUCACUCGUCAUGUUAGUUUAUGCCUUUUGCUCGGGUUUUGGAUCUAUUAAUUGGACUAAUUAAUAGAUUUAACUUACUUAAUGUUUAGAUAGCAUCUUAGGACCUUUGUAUGUCUGUGAAACUGUGAGUAGAAACACUUGAAAUUUGAUGUUUUGCUGGCUACCUAUUAUUGCAGUUAUAGAAGGUCAUGACUGACCUGUGAAACACUUGGGCACACCAAAGGUUGGUGAUUCGAAUCAAAGAUUAGUGUAUGCUAUGUUACGUUGUUUCCCUCAUCUGAUUAUUGUUGCUGCCGGGUUAACAUGAAUGCUAAGUUAUAGGCGUCUUGACUAAUUAAUAAAUGAAACCGAAGAGGAUGGGCAGAAAGCAAACUAAUUUUAUGUACGCCCAACAUUGUUUCUUUGGAUGCUUAUAUGAAUGGUUUUAAACUUUUAAUGGAUGAGCUGAUGGCAUAACUUGGUUCUCCUCUUACAGAUAAGCGCAUUCAUGUUCUGAAGCAAUGCCUUCUUGAACGUGUAUAGGAAAUAAGCUCCGAUGCAUUUAUUUUAGUACUUGGAUACUCUUUUGCUUACAUGUCUGCCGGGAAGAUACAAUGUCCUACAAGUUCGAAUACAGAGCUACCACUAUAAAUUCUACUUGGUUGCAUCUGACCUAAUGUUAUUCAUUUCCUUCUGCUCCAGACAAGACAAGCAGCAGCGGCGACGCCGGACCAGUCACCCCCGCACCUCCAGUUUUCCUUCAGGGUAACUAACCACGGGCAAAUGCUUCUGUCAUUUCUUUCGCUUGUGAUUCCUCUCGUUGGGACCAUGGUUGUUGCCUUUCCCUCUGCCUGUAAAAUCGUACUGCAGAGGCAUCUAGCACCCACCAUGAACAUCGGUGUGAGGUCUUGGAUCAAGGCUCCCCUGGACCAGCAUCGUCUGCUAGCGCACGCGUGCCUGCUUCUGUGCAGAUUGACUGAUCUAGCCUCCACCUAAAUUUCCUGCAAUUACGAUUCAGCAAGAGAUCAUAGGCUGUGAGCCUUGUGUUGGGAGGAUCCCAGGCCGAAUGAUGCUUGAUCUCCUUUUGGAGGAGCUUGUGUUUACCGCAGCCCGUUAUAGUCGAAGGGGCUAUUUAAGUAACACCAUGAGUUCAUUUACUGGUGUUCGAUCCUCCGAUGAGGCAGCGGCGGAAGACUUGCCUUUUUGAAGCCAUCAGGACCAUCGAAAAUGCCACAAGAACAGUGGUCAAAGAUCUGAAUUAUGGACGCUUAAACAAGAUGGAACAAGACUUUGGUUAUCUAAGGCUCAGGCUCAAUGAAGCAUUUGACACAAUAGACAGGGUUGCCAAAGGAUAUUUGUAUGCUAUAAGAUACAUGCCAGCUUUCUUACAUCAGCUUCAUAAUGUGAUAGCACAUACUUUUCCUCCUACUCGUGUUGUGGACAAGUCAACAAAUGAGGCUCUCAAGAAUAUUGAGGUGGUAGCUCAUAAUCUCAGGACAGAAGCAAUAGUCUUGAGAACAAGCUAUAUGUGUUGAGAAGGCAGAGUCAAGCGCGCGUGAACAUGUGUAGCUUGCUUUCGGACUAAAUCCUUUGUAGUUGUGUGGACCAACUUUUAUAUACUAAGGGCGUGUUCGGUA